AGGGCCUACGGGAGGCAGCAGUGGGGGAUAUUGCACAAUGGGGGAAACCCUGAUGCAGCGACGCCGCGUGAGUGAAGAAGUAUUUCGGUAUGUAAAGCUCUAUCAGCAGGGAAGAAAAUGACAGUACCUGACCAAGAAGCCCCGGCUAACUACGCGCCAGCAGCCGCGGUAAUACGUAGGGGGCAAGCGUUAUCCGGAUUUACUGGGUGUAAAGGGAGCGUAGACGGCAUAGCAAGUCUGAAGUGAAAGCCCGUGGCUCAACCGCGGAACUGCUUUGGAAACUGUUAAGCUGGAGUACUGGAGCG
rnacentral:rRNA from 1 species